rnacentral:rRNA from 1 species
AGUGAACGCUGGCGGUAGGCCUAACACAUGCAAGUCGAACGGCAGCACAGGAGAGCUUGCUCUCUGGGUGGCGAGUGGCGGACGGGUGAGGAAUACAUCGGAAUCUACCUUUUCGUGGGGGAUAACGUAGGGAAACUUACGCUAAUACCGCAUACGACCUACGGGUGAAAGUGGGGGACCGCAAGGCCUCACGCGAUUAGAUGAGCCGAUGUCCGAUUAGCUAGUUGGCGGGGUAAUGGCCCACCAAGGAGACGAUCGGUAGCUGGUCUGAGAGGAUGAUCAGCCACACUGGAACUGAGACACGGUCCAGACUCCUACGGGAGGCAGCAGUGGGGAAUAUUGGACAAUGGGCGCAAGCCUGAUCCAGCCAUACCGCGUGGGUGAAGAAGGCCUUCGGGUUGUAAAGCCCUUUUGUUGGGAAAGAAAUCCUGUCGAUUAAUACUCGGUGGGGAUGACGGUACCCAAAGAAUAAGCACCGGCUAACUUCGUGCCAGCAGCCGCCGUAAGAC